UACUGUAUCAUUAUCUUUAGAAAGCAGAAC
rnacentral:piRNA from 1 species